rnacentral:lncRNA from 1 species
CUGGCUUGCCAUAACAUAUUACUAAAUAUCAUAUGGCUGAUCAAUGAUUAAGAAUCGUUCAAGGGUAUAAUCGUCAAUAUGAUUGAUAAUCAACCUUAUGCAAAAGCUGUGAUAAAAUAAUUUACUAAGAGUUAGUAAAUUAAUGAAGAAUUAAUUAGCAAUUAGAUUACUGAUUAGCUUAAUUUAAUUGAGCAAUGAGAUUUGGAUCCAG